UACGUAGGUGGCAAGCGUUGUCCGGAUUUACUGGGCGUAAAGGGCGUGCAGGCGGUUUGUUAAGUGCAGGGUGAAAGCUCCCGGCUCAACUGGGAGAGGUCCUUGCAUACUGGCGAACUCGAGGGAGGCAGAGGAAAGUGGAAUUCCCGGUGUAGUGGUGAUAUGCGUAGAUAUCGGGAGGAACACCUGUGGCGAAGGCGGCUUUCUGGACGAUAACUGACGCUGAGACGCGAAAGCGUGGGGAGCAAACAGG
rnacentral:rRNA from 1 species